CGGUACCACUUUUGGAUAAACCAUACUCAGUUGAUGUAUUAUAAAGCAUCACUGGGUAGAGUUUGUCCAAUAGUUUUACCACCAA